GACGAACGCUGGCGGCGUGCUUAACACAUGCAAGUCGAACGGAAAGGCCCUGCUUGCAGGGUACUCGAGUGGCGAACGGGUGAGUAACACGUGGGUGAUCUGCCCUGCACUUCGGGAUAAGCUUGGGAAACUGGGUCUAAUACCGGAUAGGAACCAUCUUUAGUGUGGUGGUUGGAAAGUUUUUUCGGUGUAGGAUGAGCUCGCGGCCUAUCAGCUUGUUGGUGGGGUAAUGGCCUACCAAGGCGGCGACGGGUAGCCGGCCUGAGAGGGUGUACGGCCACAUUGGGACUGAGAGACGGCCCAGACUCCGACGGGAGGCAGCAGUGGGGAAUAUUGCACAAUGGGCGCAAGCCUGAUGCAGCGACGCCGCGUGGGGGAUGAAGGCCUUCGGGUUGUAAACUCCUUUCGCUAGGGACGAAGCUUUGUUGUGACGGUACCUAGAUAAGAAGCACCGGCUAACUACGUG
rnacentral:rRNA from 1 species